ensembl:lncRNA
GCUUAUCACAAAAAUAUAGUUUAUUCCAAUUUCAAAUCACUACCCCCCAAAAAAAUAAUUUUAAAACAAUUACUCAUCUUUUCCUAUGAUAGAUAAAAUAAGCCUGACAAAAUUAAAGGGGCCUUUCAUGCUACCCAGAAAGGAGUCCAUACGGCGUUUUCUGGGUUACUGUCUUAACUUAAAGGGAAACUUGCACAACGUCCAGAGCCUUUGAUGUCCCACAAAUGAAGGACGAGGGUAUCCUCAAAUUCUUGGCAAGAGGAACCCACUUAGGCAGCACCAACCUUGAUUUCCAAAUGGAACAGUCAUCUACUAAGGAAAAAGUGGUGGCAUUACCUCAAAUAUCUGAAGAGAACCUGGGAGAAGCUUCUGUUGGCAUCUUGUGCCAUUGUCUCCACUGAAAAUCUGGCUGACAUCAGUGUCACAUCCUCCAGAAUACUGGCCAGUGAGUUGUGCUGAAGUUCACUGCUGCUGUCAUUGGAGCCACUACUACUGUUGGCCACAGCACUCCUGGAAGCUUCCCUGAUGGGAUCCAGGCAGCUCCGGCAGCCGUGUCUUCCGGGAGUCGUGUCUUCCGGGAGUACUGAUCCCACGGCUGACCGCCAGCUUCGCACAGGGGCACCUUAUGUUAACCUGCCCACCAUCUCAGUGUGUAACACAGACACUGCUCAGUGCUACGCGGGUAUUGUCAUCCCGGGCCACAACCGGGGAGCUCGCUCAGUUAGGUGUGAAGUAGGGGUUGCUGGCUAGGGAAGUUCUGCGCAUGCGCAGCUCCAUGUCCCGUGAGCAUUCGGGAGAGGUCAUGCGUGAUCUCCUUCUACAGAGCUCCCGAAGAGAGGAAAAGGAAGAGUAGGCUGCUGCUGAAAAGGCUGCCACCAAGGAGGAAUUCCAGAGUGAAUGGACCCCUCCGGCUCCCAAGUUCACUGCUUCUUAACCUGAGGUCGCAGCCGGGUCAGGUGGCACGUAGGUGCCCUCUGUGUCUAUUCAGCGGUUGCCUCCUGCGGACCGGAUGGAGCCUCAGCCUGUCACUGAGGACUGGUCUGCAGCUCCUACUGCUCGGGCCUUUCUGGAGUAAAUGAACAUUUAGACAUGGCGAAGCAACUGUAUUUGAAGAAAAGAAGAAAAGUGAAGGCAAUACUUGGCAUAAGGAGAGGAAGAAUGAGAAGGAUGUCCAAAGAAGGAGCCAGAAAGGAAAGAGGAGAAGAAAGGCAAGGAAGACUUGGUCAAUGUGGCAGGUGUGGAAGAAAGAGAGAGAAGAGAGGGGAUGUUAGCCCAUAAAAAGGAGACACUGGCACAGACCGUCCAGGACUCUGUCGUUUCCAACCUGCAUUCAAGUUGCAGAAAUUGCAAAGAAAAUUUAACUCUGGUGCAUAUGAGUCCUUUUAUUGUUAAACUCUUUAGCUACCUUCAUGAAGAAAAUACUACAUUCAAAUAAGAAGAUAAGAGAAAAGAAAAGGUACACUUCUGUUUAUAUAAUUUCAAGUUUACAAAAAAUAAAAGAAAAUCAUGCCAAUAACUCUCCACAAAGGAAACGAUUUCAGAUGAAUACAGGUAAUUAGAAGUGUCAAGAAAUCAGCAAAGUAGGGUGUCUGCCAUCAUUUCUGCGGAAAGAGUGCCAGAUUCUCUUUCAAAAAGGUCUUUGUCAUUUUUU